CAAUGGAAUCAUAGGCACUUUUGUAAAAGAUUCCUCAUGAAAAGAUUCUUAUCAUGGGAACAAAGGACCAUCAAGAAUAGGUGUGUUGCUGUCCAGAGCUUGUCAGGAGUGGGAACGCAGGCAGCUCGGGGUGCCCUGCUGACCAUAUCAUCACAUUCAGGUACAACUGAAGGACUGUGGCUACUGCAGUAACCAGGGAAGACGUCCAUGGGAUCCAGGCCUGUGCAAUCCUCGA